AACUUUCAGCAAUGGAUCACUUGGCUCUCGCAUCGAUGAAGAACGCAGCGAAAUGCGAUAAGUAAUGUGAAUUGCGGAAUUGAGUGAAUCAUCGAAUCUUUGAACGCACCUUGCACCCUUUGGAAUGCUCCAAAGGGUAUGCUCGUUUGAGUGUCAUUGUACUCUCACACUCUCUGAUCCUUUGGAUUUGGGGAGCGGUGGACUUGGGUGCUUGCUGCUUCCUUGUGGCCCACCUGAAAUUCGUCAGUGCAUCUCUUGAUUGGACAUAGUACGGCGUGAUAAGUGUCCUCGCCGGCACCUCGUAAGAGGGUGGCUGAUCGGGAGCUCUGUGCUUUCAAACCGUCUUCGGACAAUCCCUGACAACUUGACCUCAAAUCGAGUAGGACUACCCGCUGAACUUAAGCAUAUCAAUAAGCGGAGGCU
rnacentral:misc_RNA from 1 species